rnacentral:lncRNA from 1 species
GUCCUUGGGCAGGUGAUGCCGACACCGCAAGCUAAACCCUAUCAACUAUACCUUUGUUAGAUAGCGUAGUGAGAACAAGUAGCUUAGACUCACCUUAUGGCGCAAGGUCUCUCACUAACACGCACUGGGUCGACUACGAUGAGAUAUGCUCUCGUAAUGGAUGUCAUUGAACUCCACUACUUUGUCAGUUUGGUAGUUUCCGACUAACUGAACAUGCAGCCUAUGAAUGUGGUCAUAAUAACAUCUCUAUGGGAUCAGAGAUAUACAUGAAGAUCUUAAACAGACUUCAUCCAUCCAAAUCAAGUUGCUCCAAACCACAGGAGCAUGCGUUUGCUAAAUGUAUUGAAACGCACAUGAACUCUACUUGAUUUGGAAGGGAUAUGGUGAAUUAUGCCUUUGCGUGUUCAUUCCGGAUUUACAUGGACUCUUGAUGGAUCAAGAGAUGCCAAUAUGUAUCAACAUCCGAAGAUAAAGAUCUUGGGAAGACAUAGUCUCGAUAAGGCACUCGAUGACUGUAUUGAUGAUCAAUCGGCUUAGGCGCUCUAUAACUAGUGAGGCCUACAUAUACUCCCAUGAUUAGUCAAGGUCUUUGCUCUAAAGAGAGAUCCGUUGUUUUGUCUAAAGCAAGAUGACAAAUAUGUGUUAAGAGAUGGAGUUCUCAUCAUAGUACAAAAAGACGCAUCAAUGUACUCAACACAAUACAAAAGACUUGACAUCUCAUUCGCUAUGAAAAGUUGUAAAGCUAAGUGUAGCUAUGCGCCCACGCAACGCCAAUGUAAUGGCAGUAACUCCUUUUUCAAUACUUAAUGGUAUGAAAGGUUGAGGCUUAUUCUAUCCCUACAUAAGAAAGACACAUCAAAAGUGAAAUCAGAAUCUGCCAAGUUUUGUAGGUCAACUUCCACGAGACCUAUAGGAAAUCUCACUCACUGGAAAAUGGUGAAAUUGGUACCAUUGGAAAGGUCUAUGUGUCUACUUUCCAGGGACACCAACCAUUUGAUCAUACCUAUCAUA